rnacentral:rRNA from 1 species
AUGAACGCUGGCGGCGUGCCUCAUACAUGCAAGUCAAGCGAACGGACGAGAAGCUUGCUUCUCUGAUGUUAGCGGCGGACGGGUGAGUAACACGUGGAUAACCUACCUAUAAGACUGGGAUAACUUCGGGAAACCGGAGCUAAUACCGGAUGAUAUUUUGAACCGCAUGGUUCAAAAGUGAAAGACGGUCUUGCUGUCACUUAUAGAUGGAUCCGCGCUGCAUUAGCUAGUUGGUAAGGUAACGGCUUACCAAGGCAACGAUGCAUAGCCGACCUGAGAGGGUGAUCGGCCACACUGGAACUGAGACACGGUCCAGACUCCUACGGGAGGCAGCAGUAGGGAAUCUUCCGCAAUGGGCGAAAGCCUGACGGAGCAACGCCGCGUGAGUGAUGAAGGUCUUCGGAUCGUAAAACUCUGUUAUUAGGGAAGAACAUAUGUGUAAGUAACUGUGCACAUCUUGACGGUACCUAAUCAGAAAGCCACGGCUAACUACGUG